AGACACUCAUUCGUAAGAGGUGCUAAAACCUGAGAAAAUGAAGUGUUGGAAGGAUUGUUUGAUAAGCUGCUUGGAAUGUCAGUGAGUUCUCUAAGAGGCAUGCCUCAAUCAUAAUGGCUGGGAGUUGAUUGCCUUCCUAGAAGAUUCCGUCUGGGUAAAUAUUAGGCUCUUGCUUUGCUAGUAAUUAGGGUGAGCAAAUGUGGGCCACAGCUGAAUUGUUUAGGACAGGAAAGAGAAGCCAAGGACUGUCAAAAGAAACCUUCCUUUUUCUAAACCUUCCUCCACAUAAUGUUGUUCCUCCUCCAAAUAAAUGUUAAACUAGUUUUAGUUGAAAUUGAGAGCAAAACCCACAAACAAUAAAAAGGAAGUUGGGAGAGGCAGAAAAAAAUGCACAGAACAGAAGAAUGUGUCAUUAAGAGUUAAACAUCAUCAGAAAAAGAAGAGAUAUGCAUAAAACAAGAACACUA
rnacentral:lncRNA from 1 species